GUCAUGGCAAAAUCCAUGACCCGGUUUGGUCGCCGGAAUAUCCACAAGGCGUGCAAGCGCCUCAAAUUCGUAUGGCGCUUUUUUU
rnacentral:sRNA from 1 species